UGGGGAAUUUUGGACAAUGGGCGCAAGCCUGAUCCAGCCAUGCCGCGUGCGGGAAGAAGGCCCUCGGGUUGUAAACCGCUUUUGUCAGGGAAGAAAUCUUCUGAGUUAAUACCUCGGGAGGAUGACGGUACCUGAAGAAUAAGCACCGGCUAACUACGUGCCAGCAGCCGCGGUAAUACGUAGGGUGCAAGCGUUAAUCGGAAUUACUGGGCGUAAAGCGUGCGCAGGCGGUUUUGUAAGACAGAGGUGAAAUCCCCGGGCUCAACCUGGGAACUGCCUUUGCGACUGCAAGGCUUGAGUGCGGCAGAGGGGGAUGGAAUUCCGCGUGUAGCAGUGAAAUGCGUAGAUAUGCGGAGGAACACCGAUGGCGAAGGCAAAUCCCCUGGGCCUGCACUGACGCUCAUGCACGAAAAGCGUGGGGAGCAAAACAGGAUUAGAUAGCCCUGGUAGUCCACGCCCUAAAACGAUGUCAAACUGGUUUAGUUGGGGAAAGGUUCCUUCUCAGUAACGUAGCUAACGCGUGAAA
rnacentral:rRNA from 1 species